rnacentral:rRNA from 1 species
UACGUAGGCAGCAAGCGUUGUUCGGAAUUACUGGGCGUAAAGAGUGUGUAGGCUGUGCUCUAAGUCUGUUGUGAAAUCUCCCGGCUUAACCGGGAGGGUGCGGCGGAAACUGGAGUGCUUGAGGGUGGGAGAGGUAAGCGGAAUUCCUGGUGUAGCGGUGAAAUGCGUAGAUAUCAGGAGGAACACCUGUGGUGUAGACAGCUUACUGGACCACUUCUGACGCUGAGACACGAAAGCGUGGGUAGCAAACAGG